AAGUUGUGUGUGUGUAAUACAUGUGCUGGGAAGUUAGACUCAAACAUAUAGAAAAGAGAAAAGAGAGAACCAAAGAGAGAGAGAGAGAGAGCUUCAUUGUUUUUGCAUGCAAUGUAAUUAAUCUGCUGGUGCAAAACCGUGAGAAAGAGAGAGACAACCGUGGGUGAGAAAGAGAGAACCGUGAAUGAGGGAGAGUUCAACUCCUUAAAUCUUUGCUGGAAAUUUGAAGGAAAACCAAUGGAAAAGUGAAGAAAAGGAAGGAGAAACUCAAGUUUGGCUUGGAUUUGUCAAAAUUAUGCAAGAUUAAAUGUCUAUGAAGACUCUAGGUCGCGCGCCAUUGUCUGCUUGAUUUAUCUGAUAUGCCCAGUCUAUCUGAUUUGCUUCUGCAGCCAUCUGUGAUCAGGCGCGUGACCAGGCUUAGAGGCUUCUGCCUAGAAUCAGUUUUGUCAGCCAACCUAUGUGCCUCCCGUGGAGGUUUCGGAUAUUUUAAGUGAUUAUUGCUAUGUGACUUAAAGUUUAAGUUUUAUUUUCGUGUUUGGUUGAACAAGUCUUGUGUAUUUUGUAAAUAGGGUUAAGUUCCUUUUGUGUAAUCUGUGUUUAUACGACGACUUAAAGUUAAUGUGUAUAUAAAAAAGUUUAAAAUUUUUCUGUCUCAUAGCUCAAUGGACGUUGUAUAUUGUUAUUUGCUUCCGCUAGCCCCUAAUAUUACGUUAAUCUGUCUCAGAGGCCUUCGGUAAUCCCAGGAUCACCGGCCGAUUACGAUGCUAAACCCAUAGGGGUGGGUUUGGCUCGUGACAGAGUGGUAUCAAGACACGAGUUAAUUUCUCACACACGUGUCCAUUGAGCAUUAGAAUGUCUAGAACAGAUCUUAGUUUCAUGCAUGUAGAAGGUAAGUAAUAAGUGGUACAUUCAGGAAUAUGCAUAUAUGUUUGUGUAAUAUGUUUAUUGAAACUAAGAAUUAUGAGCUAUUAUGGAAUUAUGAUGAUUAUAAGGAAACUGGAAUGUGUUGAAUCAGUUUAGCGAUGAGGCUGAAAGCUAGGAAUUAUGGUGACAUCUCUGAAAUUUCUACUAUUAUAAGGAAAUCAGAAAAUUUGACUAGUACAUUGGUGAGAAUGAGUAUGUUGAUUUGUGGAAACAUAGUAUUGUGCAGAAUUAGAAUCUUUAACGAAAGUCAUGAAAGCUAUAUGGGUUAUAUGUUAAAUUGGACUAUGAGAAUAUUUAGAAAUUGAGAAAAUUGUUGAUCAAUAAAAUAUGUGGAACUAUGGUAAUUGAGGAUGAGAAAAGUCAUUUGAUAUGUAAGAUAGUACAUUUUGGUGGGAACCUAUUAUGUGGAAUGUUAAACCGUAGAGUCUCAUGCCUUUGUUGAAUGAUCUUGAAAGUCCGAUUGGAAUCACGUUUGGCCAGCGUUACUUCGAGUUGGAAAUUCUUGGUAAAUUCCUAGGGAAUGAACAGGUUACCCUACCAAUGUCCUUAUAUGCCUAUAUGUGUAUGUCUGCUUGUAUAUGAUAUGUGCUUUGUGUUAUAACUUAUGUCAAUUAAUUAACCCAAAUGUUAUCAAUUAUCUUCUUGUGUUUAACCCUUUCCUUUCGUCAUUAGGAGUAGAUGGUGAAAAAGUCUGAAUGGAGUGGAAAUUGAGUCUUUAUCAGAGUGAUUAGGUAAAAGAGAAGAAGUACUAGAGAACGUAGUAGAGCUGUGAAUCCUAUGGCAAGAUCAAAAGGAAGAGUUAAGUGUGGAAGUGAAAGAGAAUCAAAGAAGAAAACUAAGAAUUUUGUGGUAAGAAAGAUGAGUAAUUCUAAGCAAGUUGUAAGAGAGGUAAGUUAUCCUAGUAUGUCAAUAUGUCACAAGAUCUAUCGGGGACUGUGUCAUCAAAUUACUGGGAAUGUGAGAAGUUGGGCAUCAAAUAAAAGACUAUCCCAAACCUAAGAGAAAGCUCAAAUAAUUUAAUUGGUUAAGGAGAGUACUUGAGUACAAGUAGGACUGUUUGAAGUUAACAGUUUAUGUGUGAGUGGUUUUUUUUUUUAAUAAAGCUAUGUUAUAAUACUUUGAUAGAGCUUUACUUUGCUUUGUUUUGGAAAAGUAUUUGAUCAAAUAUGAAUGAUUAUCCAUUAGUUUCUGUAUCAAGUAUAAGCUUUGUUGUGAUGACAUUCUUGAAAGGUCCUUUCGUGCUAAGGGACGUUAAGCUUAUGUAACACCUUGUUGAGAUAUCUCUUUGCCAUCGACGGUCAUGUACGGAUGGUACCACCGACGGUCUUAUACGGGUGGGUUAUGUUUUGUCACCAACGGUUUUCCGGAUGGGUUGUCUAAUCGAUUUCGGGUUGGCCACUGACGGUCAUGAACGGGUGUGCUUCGAUUCCGGGACGGUUAUUCCCUUGUUUUGUCAAGAAUGUCAUCCCAUGUUUUGUUACAAGCUAUGUCAUGUAUUGUUUUGAUAUAGAUGGAACCCAUUUGUCGGACCAUUUAGAACUCAACUUGAUAUUGCCAAAAAUGAUUAAAACAUCGCUUAGACUUGACCAAUUGAUGAACAUGGGAAAAUAAUUGGGAUUUCUGUUUAGUCUAACAAAGCUAUAUGUUUUUGGGACCUUGUUCGAAUAGACAGAAAAUUGUACUCCAUAUUAGGAGACUGAAACUUAUGAGAGUUAGAAAGGAAAGACCCAAUUUACAAAAAUCGUAUCGCUAUUGAAUCUUCUAACAUUGAAAGAAACAUUUAUAAUUAUCUUAAGCUACAAAGUCAAAAUAUAGACUUCUAGAAAGGAAAACACAAUAAUUCCCCAUUGGAAAAGUGAUUAGAAAUGAAUGAUAUUAUGAUCUUGUAGGCAUAAUUAAAUUUCGAUUUUGAAUCCGACAUUAGCAUAACCUAUUGCAAAUAAAUUCAAUUCUAGUGUCGAACGGAAGAAAGAAAGCGUAAUAGGAAAUAAGGAAGUAAAUAUCGUUAGAAUGACAAGCGCAUAUUUCUUAAGGAACCUUUGGGAACAUAAGAAUUUUGAUUGGCUAAUUAUAAUGAUUUGAAGAAAAUUGAAAGUGUAGCCCUAAACUACCACGUGACAAUUGAUCAAAUUUGGUGAACGUGUCUAUAUGGGUCUACGAAUUGGAAUUUACAUAAAGACAAUGUAAUUUGAAUUUUGUAUAUAAGUGUAAUCUUAAGUAACUAAGGAAACUAAUGACCGCAUAAAACAUGGACCUUUUGUGAAAUCAAAUCACCACUUUGAAAUGAUAGUGUGAGUUAGAUUGUCAAAACGGUAAUUUUAAUUUCACAGAAGUAUGUAAAGUUCUGCUCUGAUCUGUAUGACUGCUUGCUACUAUAUGAGAGCAAGCCAACAUCUGUUAUUCAAUAGGCUCAAUGAAUUUCUGUGAAAUAUGCUUUGUUAUGACUCCGAUAUGCUUUUGUUUGAAAUCCAAUGUGCUCCUCUAUUUUGAAAUUACCAUCAUAAUUGGUACCCAAGAUGUUUGUUUGAAACUAAGACCAUUAAUAUGUGAUUACGUUUCCAUAUAAUUCGGAAAUUUCUGUUAUAGAUUAACACGUGGAACCUUAUUUUGGGAAGUUACGUUAUGUGCAUAACUUAAGAACCUUGACCAUAGUCAACGAAAGUUAAAUGUCUGUUCUUUUGGGGUAGGAUGAGUUACAAAUUGCAUAGCAAUAAUGUCGGGAUUGUAUUUUUGUUAAUAGGACUGAAGGAUCCAGAAAUUGUGUUUGUUAUUAGUAAUGCGUUGACUAUUAAAUUUAAUUUGAAGAAUCUAACAUGUCAAUAGCAAAAUAUUUUGAUCUGUUUGAAAAACAUUUCUUAAAAUAAAAUCUCCUCCUAUUGGAAGUAUCUGAAUUAUAGAUUGAGGAACUAAGGUAUCUAAAUUAUAAGAUUGAUGUCAAUAGAAACGUUAAGGAAUUGCCAAUUUUAGUUAUUAACCAUUAAGUGAUUGGAACUAAGUUCAAUUUACGUGAAGAAGUCCAAUGAAAAAGGAGUUACCUAGGGGAGGAAUUGAAGUGAGAUCAAGUUAUAUGACUGAUUUUCUGUACAAGUAUCUUAAGUUUGGAAGACCAAACUUCCUAAGUGGGGAAGGCUGUAAUGACCCCAUCACGUAUAAUGAUUAGUACUUGGGUAAUUAAGAGGAUUUGAAAUUUAAGUGCCGAUUAUUAUAAUUAAUUUGGGAUUUACAAAAAUUAUGGAGAUUGACCCAUACAUGAUUCUAUUGAGGAUUUAUUUUGGAAUUAGAAAUAGAAUGCCCAAAUGGCUCAAGAGAGUACAAUUAGUAUAUUAAGUUAUUUUAAUUUCGAAUAUCGGACCGUGUGGAAGUUUAAUUAACUAUUCGAUUCAGAUUUAUAAAUUGAGAUUCAAUUAAAUUGGGUCCGAAUUGCGGUUAAUUAAGUUAAAUAGAUUAUGAGGAUUGAGAAUUGUGAUUAUUGAGAGUUAAAGUUAUUUAUGGAACGUCCAAUUUGAAUAUGUAAUUUACUGUUGGAAAUUUGAGUCUGAUCAGAAAUUGAAGACCUAAAUGAUUUGGGAAAUCGAAAGUGAUAGUGAUAAUAAAUUCAAUUUAAUAUUUGGAGCCUUUUUGGAAGUCUGACUAAAAAUCUGAUUUGGAUUGAUAAACUUAAGUAUAUUUAAUUAGGCUCUAAUAGAAGUCAGUUAGAUUAAUUAAAUUAUGAGAGAUUUAUGAUUAGUUAUGGUCAAUUUAAUUAUAUGUAUUAUUUAAUUAAAUCAAUCUUAACAAUAAAUUGAAUUGUGGACUAAAUUAGAAUUAUGAGUGUAUAUUAAAUAUAUAUAUAAUAAAUUAUUAAGCCUUCAAGUUUUAUAUGUGUACAUGAGGAGAGAGAGAGAGUAGGCAAACCCACUUAUUAUUAUUGAGUGCAUUCUGUGGUUCAUUUUGUCUUGGCAAAACCGUGAGAAACAGAGAGACAGCCGUGGGUGAGAAAGAGAGAACCGUGAAUGAGGGAGAGUUCAACUCCUUAAAUCUUUGCUGGAAAUUUGAAGGAAAACCAAUGGAAAAGUGAAGAAAAGGAAGGAGAAACUCAAGUUUGGCUUGGAUUUGUCAAAAUUAUGCAAGAUUAAAUGUCUAUGAAGGCUCUAGGCAAAGAUUUGUCUCUCAAAUCUUGAAGAUCCUAUGGUAUAGAGUUGGAUUUAUGGGCCAUUACAUGUAUUUUGCUUGAGCAUGUUAAGAAGAAGGUCGCACGCCAUUGUCUGCCUGAUUUAUCUGGUAUGCCCAGUCUAUCUGAUUUGCUUCUGCAGCCAUCUGUGAUCAGGCGCGUGACCAGGCUUAGAGGCUUCUGCCUAGAAUCAGUUUUGUCAGCCA